rnacentral:rRNA from 1 species
AACGAACGCUGGCGGCAUGCCUAACACAUGCAAGUCGAACGAGACCUUCGGGUCUAGUGGCGCACGGGUGCGUAACGCGUGGGAACCUGCCCUUAGGUUCGGAAUAACUCCCCGAAAGGGGUGCUAAUACCGGAUAAUGUCUUCGGACCAAAGAUCUAUCGCCUUUGGAUGGGCCCGCGUUGGAUUAGCUAGUUGGUAGGGUAAAAGCCUACCAAGGCGACGAUCCAUAGCUGGUCUGAGAGGAUGAUCAGCCACACUGGGACUGAGACACGGCCCAGACUCGUACGGGAGGCAGCAGUGGGGAAUAUUGGACGAUGGGCGAAAGCCUGAUCCAGCCAUGCCGCGUGAGUGAUGAAGGCCUUAGGGUUGUAAAGCUCUUUUACCCGGGAUGAUAAUGACAGUACCGGGAGAAUAAGCUCCGGCUAACUACGUG